rnacentral:rRNA from 1 species
GACGAACCGAGCGAACGUUGUUCGGAAUCACUGGGCUUAAAGGGCGCGUAGGCGGGCUGUCAAGUCUGGGGUGAAAUCCCACGGCUCAACCGUGGAACUGCCUUAGAUACUGACGGCCUCGAGGGAGAUAGGGGCGAGCGGAACUGUGAGUGGAGCGGUGAAAUGCGUUGAUAUUCACAGGAACUCCGGUGGCGAAGGCGGCUCGCUGGAUCUUUUCUGACGCUGAGGCGCGAAAGCUAAGGGAGCAAACGGG